CGCCUGGGGAGUACGGCCGCAAGGUUAAAACUCAAAUGAAUUGACGGGGGCCCGCACAAGCGGUGGAGCAUGUGGUUUAAUUCGACGCAACGCGAAGAACCUUACCUGGCCUUGACAUCCAGAGAGCUUUCCAGAGAUGGAUUGGUGCCUUCGGGAACUCUGAGACAGGUGCUGCAUGGCCGUCGUCAGCUCGUGUCGUGAGAUGUUGGGUUAAGUCCCGUAGCGAGCGCAACCCCUAUCCCUGGUUGCUAGCAGGUAAUGCUGAGAACUCCAGGGAGACUGCCGGUGACAAACCGGAGGAAGGUGGGGAUGACGUCAGGUCAUCAUGGCCCUUACGGCCAGGGCUACACACGUGCUACAAUGGCGCGUACAGAGGGCUGCCAACUCGCGAGAGUGAGCCAAUCCCUUAAAACGCGUCGUAGUCCGGAUCGGAGUCUGCAACUCGACUCCGUGAAGUCGGAAUCGCUAGUAAUCGCGAAUCAGAAUGUCGCGGUGAAUACGUUCCCGGGCCUUGUACACACCGCCCGUCACACCAUGGGAGUGGAUUGCACCAGAAGUAGUUAGUCUAACCUUCGGGAGGACGAUUACCACGGUGUGGUUCAUGACUGGGGUAAGUCGUAACAAGGUAACCGUA
rnacentral:rRNA from 1 species